UAAGCUGGCAGAGUGCACAUUUGUGGCUGUCAACGGCUAGCUCAACUGCCACGUAGGAAGAGGUUUAUAAAGACAGACACAGGGAGCUAGCUGACGUCAUUUGAGCCCCCAGAUUCAGCCAUACCUGAAGCCGGCGGCAUUUCUCAGUUUCCCAGAAAAGCAGGCCCGGUAAAUCAUUUGGAUGAACUAUAAAUACCAAAACAGAGAUAAUUUAUUAACACCUACUCCCUAAAGGGCAGGCAGAACUCAGCAUGCUUCUCUCUGUGCUCCCAACUUGUGAACUCAUUCAUCAAAGUCAAAGCAAAAGCAAACACCAGUCUACCCGGAUCCAAAGCCAAAUUUGCGAGAUAGGGAAUUAAGAACAUGCCACUGUAAAACGGGUUUGUGACAUACCAGUUCUACCAUUAUCUUACGAGGUGUCGGUUUCUUCAUCUGGAGAGCAAGGAGAGUUGGAGUUUGGUCUCUGCAUUAUUCUAAAGUCUG